GCUUGUCUCAAAGAUUAAGCCAUGCAUGUGUUAGUAUAAACGCCUUUAUACUGUGAAACUGCGAACGGCUCAUUAUAUCAGUUAUAGUUUAUUUGAUACUUUUCGACUAUUGGAUAACCGUAGUAAUUCUAGAGCUAAUACAUGCAUCAAGCCCCGACUGUUUGGAAGGGGUGUAUAUAUUAGAUUGAAACCAAUGCGGGGCAACCCGGAGUGUGGUGAUUCAUAAUAUCUUUCGGAUCGAUUUAUCGAUGCAUCAUUCAAGUUUCUGCCCUAUCAGCUUUGGAUGGUAGGGUAUUGGCCUACCAUGGCUUUAACGGGUAACGGAGAAUUAGGGUUCGAUUCCGGAGAGGGAGCCUGAGAAAUGGCUACCACAUCCAAGGAAGGCAGCAGG
rnacentral:rRNA from 1 species